GCCCCAGUGGCCUAAUGGAGAAGGCGCCGGCCUUCUAAGCCGGAGAUUGUGGGUUCAAGUCCCAUCUGGGGCU
rnacentral:tRNA from 1 species